UACGGGGGGGGGCAAGCGUUGUUCGGAAUUACUGGGCGUAAAGGGCCAGUAGGCGGCCAACUAAGUCGGAUGUGAAAUCCCCAGGCUUAACCUGGGAACUGCAUCCGAUACUGGAUGGCUUGAAUUCGGGAGAGGGAUGCAGAAUUCCAGGUGUAGCGGUGAAAUGCGUAGAUAUCUGGAGGGAUACCGGUGGCGAAGGCGGCAUCCUGGACCGACAUUGACGCUGAACGGCGAAAGCUAGGGGAGCAAACGGG
rnacentral:rRNA from 1 species